UUUCAUCCUUGUAAAUGUGUUUUGUCUAGUGGAGUCCAUUGAGUUGCUAUUGCAGAUCACAGUAGAAGAAUCACAUCCUAAUUUAACUGAAGGUUUGGAGGAGGACACAACUCUCUGGUUGGAGCCAUAUCUCCAGAGGGCCCCAGGGUUCCAGGAGCUGCUUGGAGUGUGGAGCAGUGGUGCAGCCGUGCAGUGCCUGCUGGAGUUCAACACCAGGGGAGCUCUACAGUGGCUGCCCCAAACAGGAGCCUCCUCUCUGCUGGACAGAACCGGGCUGAGGCAGGCUGUGAGGGAUGGCCGAAGCUUCAGGUCUGCU